AUUGAACGCUGGCGGCAGGCCUAACACAUGCAAGUCGAACGGUAACAGGAAACAGCUUGCUGUUUCGCUGACGAGUGGCGGACGGGUGAGUAAUGUCUGUGAAACUGCCUGAUGGAGGGGGAUAUCUACUGGAAACGGUAGCUAAUACCGCAUAACGUCGCAAGACCAAAGAGGGGGCCCUUCGGGCAUCUUGCCAUCGGCUGUGCGCAGAUGGGAAUCGCUAGUAGGUGGGGUAACGGCUCACCUAGUCGACGCUCCCUAGAUGGUCUGAGAGGAUGAAGAGCCACACGGGAACUGAGACAGGGUCCAGACGCCUACGGGAGGCAGCAGAGCGGUAUAUUGCACAAUGGGCGCAAGCAUGACACAGCCAUGCCGCGUGUAUGAAGAAGGCCUUCGGGUUGUAAAGUACUUUCUGCGGGGAGGAAGGGAGUAAAGUUAAUACCUUGGCUCAUUGACGUUACCCGCAAAAGAAGCACCGGCUAACUCCGUG
rnacentral:rRNA from 1 species